rnacentral:lncRNA from 1 species
CUAACUAAUAACAUACUACAUCUUCAUUUUGUUAGUUGACAUUAUACCUCAAUGAAUUUCCAAAAAUUAAUUCAAACUUCAUUGUCGAUGGUAUUAACCGAAGGGUAGGUGAAAUUGUAAGAGAAACUGACCUGUCAUUCAAAAUGGUAUAUAUUUAGCAAGGAACCCUAGAUUAACAUUGGGAGCUCUUAGGCUUUUUCCUUAUUAAUUAUCACAGUGUGUAAUUAAAAUAUUCUCUAAAUUCAAAACUAAAAAAUUCUACAACUGAAGGAUGUGAUUAAAAAUAUGGUCCAUAUUAUCAUGUGUAUUUUUAGCUAAUUAAUCUGUAGUGCAAAUAUUUAGUAGGGGUUGGGGGGAAUAGAAAGGUAAUAUUGCUAAAAGACCCUUUUUGUGUAUAUUAAGGAAGUUUAUUUUCAUAACCCUGAAUAUUUUGAAUGAAUUUUUUUUGCAUUCAUUAGGAAUAUAUGAGCAGAGAUUCAGUCCUGGGAUUUGACCGUCUGAAGGGCAGUGAAGACAAAUAUGCUCCCAGAUUGGCAGAACUGAACAUUGAAAGCCAAAUGGGAAAAGACAAGUUAUGCAAAUUAUUUAGGAGCCUCAGAAAGGACUUUAAUGGAUUUGCAAAUGGAGCACAUCAAGAAGAUAUUAAAGCAACUUUUAAUAUAAAUGUUAGAAGGAGGAAAUCACUAAAUCUUGAAACCUGGAAAACAUUGUUAAAGGUUGCACUGUCAAAUGCAGACAUCAAAGAGGCUACAUGAUUCCAGGGUCAAAGUAAGCUUUAACCUGUUGAAGCCAGUAUUAUGAUUUCUCUGGAAACUCCUCAUUGUGGGAUCUGGAACCUGUUGUUCUGAUCAGAUGACCAGCCUCCUCAGUUUUCACUAUGGACUUCUGUUUAUUUUGUAAAACAAGUUAUGUCAAGAGGCUCUGCCUUCUAUGAGACACCCUCUCACCUGAAGUGUAUUGAAACCCUGCCCUUACUGGCCCUCCCAGGCACUCUAGUACUUUGGUGCUGUCUUAAGUUCUGACUUGCAAUUCUUUUGCCUUGAUUAAAGACCUUUGUUUUGAAAUUUUGGUAUUUCUCUUUAUGGAAGGCUGACAAUACAAAGUAAUACAAAGCAAUUUCAAGCCAAAAAAGGUGCCAAAUUGGUGGGGUUGCAGAAUCAAUAAAGAUUUUAUACCACAUUUUUUAAGGCCA